rnacentral:rRNA from 1 species
GGCGAACGCUGGCGGCAGGCCUAACACAUGCAAGUCGAGCGCCCGGCAACGGGAGCGGCAGACGGGUGAGUAACGCGUGGGGAUCUACCCAUUGGUACGGAAUAACCCAGGGAAACUUGGAUUAAUACCGUAUAAGCCCUUCGGGGGAAAGAUUUAUCGCCAAUGGAUGAACCCGCGUCGGAUUAGCUAGUUGGUGGGGUAAAGGCCCACCAAGGCGACGAUCCGUAGCUGGUCUGAGAGGAUGAUCAGCCACACUGGGACUGAGACACGGCCCAGACUCCUACGGGAGGCAGCAGUGGGGAAUAUUGGACAAUGGGCGCAAGCCUGAUCCAGCCAUGCCGCGUGAGUGAUGAAGGCCUUAGGGUUGUAAAGCUCUUUCGCCGGUGAAGAUAAUGACGGUAACCGGAGAAGAAGCCCCGGCUAACUUCGUGCCAGCAGCCGCCGCCGUAA